rnacentral:pre_miRNA from 1 species
UAAUGAUGAUGAUAAUGAUGAUGACAAUGAUAAUGAUGAUGAUGACCGUCAUCAUCAUCACUAUCAUCGUCACCAUCAUCACCAUCA